GGAGGAUGGGGUCACUGGUUAACUUGGAGCAAGCCAUUCGAGCUUUGGACAUUGGGCUGCUUUGUACGUUAAAUGAGUCUAAGGGUAGGCCUAAAAUGGAAGAAGUGGUGGAGUUUCUCAGCAUGGACAAACAAAUUCCUGAGCUGCCUGCUUGUAGACCCGUCUCAUUGUUCCCUUACAACAGUGCCACAAGUCUUUGCACUGGUUAUUCUUGCGGCCCAUUCAAGUGAAUCCAGCUGUUUGCCUGCUUGUAUAAAACUUUCAAGAUCGGUUUAGUAUAUGUACAAAAAUGUCGGUCAGUCAAGCUAUUGUAUUUUAAGA
rnacentral:lncRNA from 1 species